GAUGAACGCUGGCGGCGUGCCUAAUACAUGCAAGUCGAGCGAACAGAUAAGGAGCUUGCUCCUUUGACGUUAGCGGCGGACGGGUGAGUAACACGUGGGUAACCUACCUAUAAGACUGGGAUAACUUCGGGAAACCGGAGCUAAUACCGGAUAAUAUUUCGAACCGCAUGGUUCGAUAGUGAAAGAUGGUUUUGCUAUCACUUAUAGAUGGACCCGCGCCGUAUUAGCUAGUUGGUAAGGUAACGGCUUACCAAGGCGACGAUACGUAGCCGACCUGAGAGGGUGAUCGGCCACACUGGAACUGAGACACGGUCCAGACUCCUACGGGAGGCAGCAGUAGGGAAUCUUCCGCAAUGGGCGAAAGCCUGACGGAGCAACGCCGCGUGAGUGAUGAAGGUCUUCGGAUCGUAAAACUCUGUUAUUAGGGAAGAACAUACGUGUAAGCAACUGUGCACGUCUUGACGGUACCUAAUCAGAAAGCCACGGCUAACUACGUG
rnacentral:rRNA from 1 species